AGAGUUUGAUCCUGGCUCAGAGCGAACGCUGGCGGCGUGCUUAACACAUGCAAGUCGAGUGCGCGCCUGUAGCAAUACAGGUGGCGCACGGCGCACGGGUGCGUAACACGUGAGUAAUCUGCCCUUCGAUGGGGAAUAACUCCGGGAAACCGAAGCUAAUUCCGCAUAACAUUCCUUGAACCUCGGUUUGGGGAUUCAAAGCCGUAAGGCGUCGGAGGAGGAACCCGCGCACGAUUAGCUAGUUGGUAGGGUAACGGCCUACCAAGGCUUUGAUCGUUAGCUGGUCUGAGAGGAUGGCCAGCCACACUGGAACUGAGACACGGUCCAGACUCCUACGGGAGGCAGCAGUGGGGAAUCUUGCACAAUGGGCGAAAGCCUGAUGCAGCGACGCCGCGUGGGGGAUGAAGCUUCUCGGAGUGUAAACCCCUUUCGACCCGGACGAAUGCCCCGCAAGGGGACUGACGGUACGGGUAUAAGAAGCCCCGGCUAACUACGUGCCAGCAGCCGCGGUAAGACGUGGGGGGCCAGCGUUGCUCGGAAUUACUGGGUGUAAAGGGUUCGUAGGCGGUGUGGCAAGUCGGGAGUGAAAUCUCUGGGCUUAACUCAGAGACUGCUUCCGAAACUGCUGUGCUUGAGUGUGGGAGAGGCGCGUGGAAUUGCAGGUGUAGCGGUGAAAUGCGUAGAUAUCUGCAGGAACACCCGUGGCGAAAGCGGCGCGCUGGACCACUACUGACGCUGAGGAACGAAAGCUAGGGGAGCAAACAGGAUUAGAUACCCUGGUAGUCCUAGCCCUAAACGAUCAGGACUUGGGGUGCCGCACGUUCGUGCGUCGUCCCGGAGCUAACGCGUUAAGUCCUGCACCUGGGGAGUACGGUCGCAAGACUGAAACUCAAAGGAAUUGACGGGGGCCCGCACAAGCGGUGGAACAUGUGGUUCAAUUCGACGCUACGCGAGGAACCUUACCUGGGCUCGAAGCGCACUUGACUAGCUAUAGAAAUAUGGGCCUUC
rnacentral:rRNA from 1 species